GACGAACGCUGGCGGCGUGCUUAACACAUGCAAGUCGAACGGGAAGGCCCUGCUUUUGUGGGGUGCUCGAGUGGCGAACGGGUGAGUAACACGUGAGUAACCUGCCCUUGACUUUGGGAUAACUUCAGGAAACUGGGGCUAAUACCGGAUAGGAGCUCCUGCUGCAUGGUGGGGGUUGGAAAGUUUCGGCGGUUGGGGAUGGACUCGCGGCUUAUCAGCUUGUUGGUGGGGUAGUGGCUUACCAAGGCUUUGACGGGUAGCCGGCCUGAGAGGGUGACCGGCCACAUUGGGACUGAGAUACGGCCCAGACUCCUACGGGAGGCAGCAGUGGGGAAUAUUGCACAAUGGGCGGAAGCCUGAUGCAGCAACGCCGUGUGCGGGAUGACGGCCUUCGGGUUGUAAACCGCUUUCGCCUGUGACGAAGCGUGAGUGACGGUAAUGGGUAAAGAAGCACCGGCUAACUACGUG
rnacentral:rRNA from 1 species